AACACAAUGAAUGCUUCAAGUGGUAUACCCAAUUUCAAUUGAAAAUGCAACUUUUAAUGACUUCUUCAGUCUCACCAUUAUUUAACCCACUGAAUAGAAUCCCUCACAACCGCACAAUAUGCAAACAGGUGUUGUCUGUUCUGCAUAUCAAGCACACCUGAUGCAACUAAUCAAGGGCAUCAUUAGUUACACCAGGAGUGCUUGAGCCGAAACAAC